rnacentral:sRNA from 1 species
AAUAGACUUGCGGAGUCUAGUAAAUUAAAAAAAAUCAUAUAAAAGUAAGGCUAGGCGUUCGUUAGGCCAUG